rnacentral:lncRNA from 1 species
CCUUAACAGAUUGUAUAUAUUGUGUUUGCUCAUGUGGCCUCGACUUUUUUGGUCCUCAGUAUUGACUUGAAGCCCCGGCAUUUCAGAAUACCAUUGGCUGAGAAAUGAGAACUUAUGUAGUAUCAUCGUCAUCAGGACCCAAAUCUAUCUCUUUGCACAACUUCUCAAACAUCACUUGACUCGUAGGAUAUCGGUAAUCAAUAGAUUGUAAAGUGAAAUAAGAAUACUUAAUGUCAAACUGCAUAUCAUACCCUGCAUAAAAUACAACUUGAAUCAAAAUUUGUUAUUAACAUGAUGAAACCACAUGCUUGGCCUGCAUUCAUUACAUCCUCUCAUUAUCAGCAUUACCAUAUACAAUCUAAAAAUGAUUGAAUGAAGAAACCAGUAUCCUACAAACAAAACAAACAACACCCCAAAUGACUUAAACUCCAAAAGCUAAAACCUUUAACAAUCAAACUGAAACCCCAUCAUUAAAAAUAACACACUAGAGUCUAUGACAUGUCUAUAAUCUAAGUUCAUAGAUGUUAAAAUUGCACAUACCCACAAAACUAGAGUUUGAUAACCCCAUUAUAAAAGUUGAAGCAAAGCAAUUGAAAAUCAAAUAAAUAUCUCAAAUUUGCAAAAAAGAACAAUAAACCAACCGUGAGGAAGAGAAGAAUGGUAGAAAAAACAAAAGAUGAGAGAGUCAGAAAGGGAUUAAAGACGCUACGCAAGCAGAGGAGAGGAGAGCAGCAAAAGAGAGGUAUUUUGAAAUACCUCAUAUUUUCUUCUUUCUCUCUUCUUCUUUCUCUCGGUGCCGGGUCUCGAACCGAGUUUCUCUAAAUUGAGGAUUAACUCCUCAACCAAGUGACUUCUCGGGAGACAGGCA